GCUUGCAAUGAUGAUAAAUGUGAAUCCCAGCUCAUUAUGAGACCUUUUGUAGGUCUGGGAGUAGAAUCCAAUCCACAUAUUAUUCUGAGCCCAUUU
rfam:Morus notabilis contig9921, whole genome shotgun sequence.